UAAUGAAAUACACCGGCUGCUCACCGCUACACUCAUUAACCCUUCCUCUGGGAGGAAGGCGUGUUCGGGUACUUGGUGCCCAUUUUUUUCCUCCUGAUGCUGGUGCUUGCUACGGUUUUGUUUAGGCCCCUGACAGGUUCCUUGUGUUGCAGUUUUAUUGCAAGAGGUGUGGGAGAAUGAGGAGGGGUUGGUGUAAGGCAGACAAGAAUGGAGAUGUGACCGACUCCAAAGCGAUCCAUAUUUGGUGGAGGAGCUUCUCAGCAUGAAGCAUGCAUGGCACAUCGGAAACACCACACCUGCAACAUGCACGCGGCGGGAUGGUGAGUGAUGGCUGGAGAGUGGCCGAGGAGACUACGAUGGGUUUGGCACGGGAGGUUGGCCUCACGGGGCUGGCUCGCAGUUUGCAGAGUGAGUGAAAUCUUCCUCCCGUAGGGCCUGCCCUCCUUCCCAAAGAAGAACUCUGCGACGUUUCCCUGAACUCUGCUUGCCCUCACCGUGAUAGUCGCUGAAGUUCCUGAACCGGCAAAACUGUCCUUGAUGCACAGCUAAGGUCACCACGGCAAAUGGAACGGGCGAAGAGACUUGUGAACUGCACCUCGAGGGACUUACAGAUUGCUCGACGUCCUUUCCUUUGGUUAUCAGGUUCUUUGAGGCCGUUGACAAUGAUAAGCCAUCUUACCAACCUCGGCGAAGCAUCUCUUCUGCAACGGCACAUUUUGGACGGGUUUAAAGCACACAUCGGCAACAUCUUUAAUCAAGCAAGAGUCCGGAACACUAUUUUGACCACCGAUGGGUCUUCAACCAAGGAUGAGACUGCAGCAGAGCACAUCCGACCAACCAACAUUCCAUUGAUUGGUAUUACUCACGGGAUGUCUACAUUUGGUGCAGAUACUCAGCUUGAUGAGGGCAAUGACAUCUGCUGCGUUUUGGAGCUCCCUAUAGCCUCAGGUGUAGGACAUCUCGAGGUUGCUGAGCCUGGAGUGGUUGAGGUUUCGUUGGGGGUCGCACAUGUCUGAAAUGAAAAGACCAUUUGCUGAGGCAGUUUUGUGAAGUGUUGGCAACCAUCAAAACAAAUGGACGGUCUGCAUAUUAUCUGUUGGAGGUGAGGCAUCUACAUAUUAUGAACAUACACUUGAGAGGGAGAAGGUCUGAAGAUAGUACUUUGAGA
rnacentral:lncRNA from 1 species